rnacentral:sRNA from 1 species
AGGCAGAUGAUGAUUAG